AACGAACGCUGGCGGCAUGCCUAACACAUGCAAGUCGAACGAGACCUUCGGGUCUAGUGGCGCACGGGUGCGUAACGCGUGGGAAUCUGCCCUUAGGUACGGAAUAACAGUGAGAAAUUACUGCUAAUACCGUAUGAUGUCUUCGGACCAAAGAUUUAUCGCCUAGGGAUGAGCCCGCGUUGGAUUAGCUAGUUGGUGGGGUAAAGGCCUACCAAGGCAACGAUCUGUAACCGGCCUGAGAGGGCGGUCGGUCACACUGACACUGACAUACGGGUCAGACUCCUACGGGAGGCAGCAGUCGGGAAUUUUGGGUCAAUGGGCGAAAGCCUGACCCACGCAACGCCGCGUGAAGGAUGAAAUCCCUCGGGAUGUAAACUU
rnacentral:rRNA from 1 species